rnacentral:rRNA from 1 species
CAUAAUAAUUUGUCUCCUAAUUAGAGGCCUGAAUGAACGGUUGAACGAGAAAUAAUCUGUCUCUAUUUUAUCUNUUGAACUUUACNNUUAAGUGAAAAGGCUUAAAUUCUUUAAAAAGACGAUAAGACCCUAUAAAUCUUUAUAUUAAUUAUUUUUCAUUUUUAAACUCAGUUAUUAUAUAAAAAUUUAAAAUAAUAAUAUUAUAUUGGGGCGAUAAAAAUAUAAAUUUAACUAUUUUUACUUUUUAACAAUAAUUUUUGAUUAUUUAUAUAAUAGAUCCUUCUUGAAGAUUUCCAGAUUAAGUUACUUUAGGGAUAACAGCGUUAUUUUUUUUAAGAGUCCUUAUCGAAAAAAAAAAUUGCGACCUCGAUGUUGAAUUAAAUUAUCCCUAUAAAGCAAAAAUUAU